UAAAUACUUACGGCAGGUUCUUGUGCUUUUAGACCAUUUGUGUUUCAUCAGCGUCGAUAAGUAUGAUGUACGCCUAAUAGGGUAUAUACAGUAAGGUCUGGCUGCGUUUUACAAAAGAACUUGCAACAAAGUUGUAUAUAUUUUGAGUCUUACCGAAUGCUCUGUUAGGCCUAAAAAAAAGUUGUGUUUAGGGUAACCCGACCUAACCUACAAAAAUGCCCCAAUCCUGAUGUCUGUUUUUCUCCGAUUGUGAAUUUUAUAUUAUUUCUAUUUAAAAAUCCGUUUUUAAAUAUGACAGAAACAAACAUUCUUAGGAUUCAUGCAAAGAAAAAAUAUAAAAUAAAAAAAAAUCCCUACCUACCUAAUUUUUCAUCAGUGUUACCCUAAACACACAUUUUUUUUUAUAGGCCUUAUGAACAAAAUUGAUAUUAAACCAUUUAUAUACAACUAUUUUGAUUUGAAUAAUUAUAUUUCACAGUCAUUAAAUUGAAACAUUGAUUAGUUUGUGAUUAAUAACAACAACUUAUGUUAUAAUUGUUGUUUCUUAACUUGUACAGUAUUUGUUUCUCCCAUGAUUUCAUGGGCUUCUAUUUAUGACUUAGUUUGUUUACCAAUAAAUUGAUUGUUGUUAU
rnacentral:misc_RNA from 1 species